UACAGAGGAUGCAAGCGUUAUCCGGAAUGAUUGGGCGUAAAGCGUCCGCAGGUGGUUUUGUAAGUCUGCUGUUAAAGCGUUAGGCUCAACCUAAUAAGAGCAGUGGAAACUAUGAGACUAGAGUAUGUUAGGGGUAGAGGGAAUUCCCAGUGUAGCGGUGAAAUGCGUAGAGAUUGGGAAGAACACCGGUGGCGAAAGCGCUCUGCUAGGACAAUACUGACACUGAGGGACGAAAGCUAGGGGAGCGAAUGGG
rnacentral:rRNA from 1 species